AUUCUUUCUUAAUUCACCUGAGAAAACACAAAAACAAAAAACAAUCAAAUCUUUCUUCUUCUUCUUCUUCCCCUCACUGUUUCUUCAGUAAACUGAAUCUCUCACAACGUAAUCAGAGAGAAGGGACUCAAAAACCCCUAAUCUCUCAGAGUUUUUGUAUACCUUUCAAAUCUCCUUUAUAUAUUUUUUUUUGGAGAGAUUUUGCAAAUUCCGAUGGGGACAAUGCACCGAAGCGGUGCUCCUAGAAGAAAUGAAAAUGCAAAGCUUAUCAUAACCACAAUUUUGGGAAUGGUGUUUGGUUUUUUUAUUGGUAUCACAUUACCCUCAGGUUCCUUUAAAAAGAUUAGCUUACCCUCAGGCCUUGUGUCAUCUUUUGAUGUAUCCAUGUCAGAUGGGAAACUGUUUUCUGGUGGCAGAUCACCUGAAGAUUUUGGUUCUAGACAGUUUCCUAAGAUAUAUGUUCCAACUAAUCCGCAUGGUGCAGAACUACUUCCUCCAGGAAUUAUAGUGGCAGAAACAGAUUUUUACUUGCGCAGAUUAUGGGGCGAACCUAGUGAAGAUUUGAAGAAGAAACCAAAGUAUCUCGUAACUUUCACAGUUGGGUUUGAGCAGAGGAACAAUAUUAAUGCUGCUGUUAAGAAGUUUUCUGAAGAUUUCCAAAUCCUGCUAUUUCAUUAUGACGGCCGGACAACUGAAUGGGACCAGUUUGAGUGGUCAAAAAAAGCGAUACAUAUCAGUGCAAAAAAACAAACAAAAUGGUGGUAUGCAAAGAGAUUUUUGCAUCCUGAUGUUGUCUCAGCUUAUGAGUAUAUAUUUAUAUGGGAUGAAGAUCUUGGAGUCGAGCACUUCAAUGCAGAGAGGUACAUUGAGUUAGUUAAGAAGCAUGGUUUGGAGAUUUCUCAACCAGGCUUAGAGCCAAACAACGGACUUACAUGGGAAAUGACAAAGAGAAGAGGUGACCGAGAUGUCCACAAAGAAACAAAAGAAAAACCAGGAUGGUGCAGUGAUCCACAUUUACCUCCAUGUGCUGCGUUUGUUGAGAUUAUGGCACCCGUAUUUUCUAGAGAAGCAUGGCGAUGUGUAUGGCAUAUGAUUCAGAAUGAUCUUGUUCAUGGAUGGGGUCUUGAUUUUGCUCUGAGACGAUGCGUUGAGCCUGCUCAUGAGAAGAUAGGUGUGGUAGAUUCACAAUGGAUAAUCCAUCAAGUGAUCCCUUCCCUUGGUAGUCAGGGUGAGUCGGAAAAGGGGAAAUCUCCAUGGCAAGGGGUGAGAGAGAGAUGCAGAAACGAGUGGACGAUGUUCCAGGACCGCGUAGCAGAAGCAGAUAAAGCGUAUAUGGAACAACACAAAGUAAAAGAAUAAUUGGAGCCUCUACUUACUCUGUCUCUGUAAAUGAAGCUUUCGUUUCCAUGACAAAUUGCAAAUAGAUCUCUUGAGGACCUUUCCAGAUAUGAUCACAAUACAAAUGAACACAAAUACAACACCAACGAUUUUUCCCAACACAAGAGUACCUUAACACAAGACUAAAGGUAAAGAAAAAAAAAAGAAGAAGCAAUAUCAUGUCAAAAGAGUUUUCUUUGGAAUCCUGGAUCGAUGUUUCUUGAUAACUUGGUAAGCUUCAUGGGAGCUCCAGGGCAAGGCCCAGAGAGAGGUGUGUGAGAACCACAACCAGAUUCCUCUAUUUGAAGAGAGAGAGCAAUACUAAAGAUGUUUUGAUACAAAGAAUCGAUGAUUUCUUCAUCGGAACAAGUAGUAAGAGAAUCAUCAAUCCUCAUUUGAUCAUUGUAGUGGUCACAUAGUGGAGAUAUUGCAAUGAUUCCACUGUCUCGUUCCGCGUAAGCUGGUGUUCCUUCGAUGGAGUUUUUGUCUCCAGAGUCCAUUAUGUUACAAUAACUGGGCAAAACAGUAAAAGGCAUACAUAACAAUUAGACAAAGCCCAUUACAUUUGUAAACACAUUGCAAGAAUUGAAUAACAGUAUUGAAUUGACGCA